ensembl:lncRNA
GCGACUACAACAUAAUAGCACCCUCCACACUCUGAAGAGGUCAUGGACUUUUGGAUUCUACCUGUUUAAGUUGUUUUUUUUUUUUUUUUUUUUUUUCCAUCAGCAGGUUGGGAUUUUCUUUGGUGUCAGUUUCAAAAGAGUAAAGGAGAGAGUUCGGAAAAAAUGCCAUCUAUGACUUCUGAUGGCUGGAAAAAGCAAGGUCAGUUAGCAAGGCAAGAGCCAUGGCUUUGUGGUCCAGGGUAAUUUUCUGAGGAGGGCAUUCACAGGUGUCUGUGGCACUUUUGCAGGAACAGAGAGGAACCAAUCUAUGCCAAAGCUGUGAUGGGGCCAGCAGCUACCUGAUGUUCCUGGUGCUGAGUAGGGCCCUCAGCAAAUGUCAGAGCUUGUCAGUGAGAAGGGGAUAUUUUUCUUACUGUAACAAAUCUCACAGGUUUUUGAGACAAGCAGGGAAAUUUUCCAGAAAGAUCUCCUGAGAAAAACUAGCUGAGCUGUGGUGGCAAAAUGGUGAAAAUGAAAAACCAACUCAUAGCUCAGACUGUGGCUCCUGCAGCAGGACUGGUGACUGCAGCUCCAGGGAGAAACCCCAGGAUGGAGAUGGGGAUGAGAUGGGAACAGGCACCAGGCCCAAGAGGUUCCUGAUCAUGCACUGCAGACACCAUCCACAUGGCCAGCUCUGCCUGCAGAAGCUUUAAUGGUCUCAGAAGAGAAAGAGCUUUGCCUGCUCUGAGCUUCUCUAGAAAGAGACUCAAGAGAGGGGGCAGGCACUUCCAGCAGGGGCUGCCAGCCGCGCCCAUCACCUCCCGGGCAGGGCUGCUCCCUGCCCCGCUGCCGGGCCCCGUCCGAGCCAGCGCCGUGCAGAGACAGCCCCGUCCCCAGCCAGGCUGGCCGGGAGCUGGAGCAGCUGCAGGCAGGAGAAGGGAGGGCUCCUGCUCAGCCCGGGCCGUGGGAAGGGGGUGCCAGCAGCCAGCGGUGACCGGCUCGGAAGGACCAGGAGUUUUCAGCUUGUGGGCGUUUUUAGAAGGCGAGAAUGGGAGGAGUGAAAUGAUCCACGUCCCCGUUGUCUGUAGGAGAAGGAGAUGUAUUCUGUGCAACUUCUAA